UCCCCUCACUCAGCCGGGGUCAGGUCGCGGGGGCAGCAGCUUCAGGGAGGACGCCCAGACUUCCCUCUCUCCAGCCACUUUGUCCAGGUCAUCCCGGGCGAUACCAAAGUGUUCCCAGGUCA